rnacentral:tRNA from 1 species
GCGAGUAUGGCGGAAUCGGUAGACGCGUUGGAUUCAAAAUCCAAUUUCUUAACGGAAGUGCCGGUUCAAGUCCGGCUACUCGUACCA